rnacentral:rRNA from 2 species
AACAGCUACCCUGGGGAUAACAGGCUUAUCUCCCCCAAGAGUCCACAUCGACGGGGAGGUUUGGCACCUCGAUGUCGGCUCAUCGCAUCCUGGGGCUGUAGUCGGUCCCAAGGGUUGGGCUGUUCGCCCAUUAAAGCGGUACGCGAGCUGGGUUCAGAACGUCGUGAGACAGUUCGGUCCCUAUCCGUCGCGGGCGUAGGAAAUUUGAGAGGACCUGUCCUUAGUACGAGAGGACCGGGAUGGACAUACCGCUGGUGUACCAGUUGUUCCGCCAGGAGCACCGCUGGGUAGCUAUGUAUGGACGAGAUAAACGCUGAAAGCAUCUAAGUGUGAAACUCGCCUCGAGAUGAGAUUUCCCAUUUCCUUCGGGAAAGUAAGACCCCUCAGAGAUGAUGAGGUAGAUAGGAUGGAAGUGGAAGUGCCGUGAGGCAUGGAGCGGACCAUUACUAAUCGGUCGAGGACUUAACCAAG